GGCCCUAUGGCGUAAUGGUAACGCGUCUGAUUCCAGAGAGUUCCGUUUAUCUUUCCAUUUAGAUUGUCUCACCGGACGAACUCGGCUUCCAGAAGACUCUGUGUUCGACUCACAGUGGGGUCA